GAUAAUGAGGCAUUUCAUAUGAUUAUCUAUUCUUUUUAAUAAAAAAAUAGAUAAUCAUAUGAAAUGCCUCAUUAUC
rnacentral:miRNA from 1 species